rnacentral:lncRNA from 1 species
GUCAGGGUCACAGGGCAGAGGCAGCUCCAGGGGGAAUCUCUGACCCUUCCCAAGCAGUGAAAGUUGGGAAGUGUCUCCCCCUGCAGCUGUGGCUUCCAGCAGAGACCGGAGACUAGAACCAGCAGCACUUACAGAGAUUUAUAGCCCGUGGAAAAGAGCUUCUCAGCUCACAUGUUUACUUCAGAGAACUCUGUGGAGGCCUCAAGGGCCAGGGUCAACAUACACCACUGCAGCUUUGCCUUUCAAGCGUUUCGGGCCACGUUAUGUGUUUGGAAGACAGCAAUGGGGUAAGUGGGGAGGGCAACAGGCAUUACUGAAAAUUCACAAACAUACAUGGUUUGGGCAUGUCUAGGUAGUGUAUAGUUAAUGAUGAUGUUCCCUUUUGUUCCUUACCACUUAGAGGGAAAAAAAAAAGCAUUAAAAAAAAAAAAAAAAUCCUUACAAAUUGAGAGUUCCCAGGAGAUUGGAGUUAAUCCUCCGCAGCUAACCAAGGGAUAGUUGUCACCUUGAACAUUGCAGCACUGUCAGGGUUUUUGGGGUGCUCUGCUUGAAUGACUAAAGGAGACCCCCCUCUCCCACCCAAUCCCCUUCCAUGCCCAGGCUUGGCUGGCAGCUUUUCCCUCGCCUGUGUCACCUCCUUCUGUUCCUCUGAUUCCUCCCCCUUACACUACUCCUGGCUCCCUCUCGGACCAAGUCCCAAAGGACAUGGGGGAUGCAUAACCGGCCGGGAAGUGAGUGGCCACUGGUUUAAUGGCAACCGGCACCUUCCCCUCUUCCAGGAGGAAAGGCUGUUUAUGUGGUUUUGUAAAAUACGCAGAAGCUAUGAAAACAAGCACUCUAUCAAUAAUAAAUGGAAUGGAAAACAGAAGCAAACAAGUCAAAGAAAGAUGCGGUGGAAGCUCUCCGCAUCUAUGACUCUGUAACCGUCAGUAGCUACUGCCUCCAUCUGCUUUCAUCACUGCAGAGGCAGACAGCAAGACUCCGCAAGAUCGUCGACUUUCAGACUUGAAGCCACAUCCGGUCUGCUAAAAUGCACAGGUGUUUAGCUCUGUUUCUUUAACCAGUGACAUGAUCAUAU